rnacentral:misc_RNA from 1 species
GAUGAAGAACGUAGCGAAAUGCGAUAAGUAGUGUGAAUUGCAGAAUUCAGUGAAUCAUCGAAUCUUUGAACGCACAUUGCGCCUCCUGGUAUUCCGGGAGGCAUGCCUGUUCGAGCGUCAUUAAAAUCACUCAAGCUUAGGUUUACCUAUUGCUUGGUCUUGGAGAUGGAAGCCAAAUUAUUGGAAUCCUCUUCGAAAUUCAAUGGCGAAGACCCUUGCUCUCCCAAGUGUAGUAAUAACUUAUGUCACUGAAGGAAGCGAGAAAUCUUCUGCCGUAACCCCCAUAUUUUCUAUGAUUGACCUCGGAUCAGGUAGGGAUACCCGCUGAACUUAAGCAUAUCAAUAAGCGGAGGA